UGUGUUGUUGGGUAGGGGAGCGUUCUGUAAGCCUGUGAAGGUGGCCUGUGAGGGUUGCUGGAGGUAUCAGAAGUGCGAAUGCUGACAUAAGUAACGAUAAAGCGGGUGAAAAGCCCGCUCGCCGGAAGACCAAGGGUUCCUGUCCAACGUUAAUCGGGGCAGGGUGAGUCGACCCCUAAGGCGAGGCCGAAAGGCGUAGUCGAUGGGAAACGGGUUAAUAUUCCCGUACUUGGUGUUACUGCGAAGGGGGGACGGAGAAGGCUAUGUUGGCCGGGCGACGGUUGUCCCGGUUUAAGCGUGUAGGUGUGUGUUCCAGGUAAAUCCGGUUCACUUUAACACUGAGGCGUGAUGACGAGGCACUACGGUGCUGAAGCAACAAAUGCCCUGCUUCCAGGAAAAGCCUCUAAGCAUCAGGUAACAUCAAAUCGUACCCCAAACCGACACAGGUGGUCAGGUAGAGAAUACCAAGGCGCUUGAGAGAACUCGGGUGAAGGAACUAGGCAAAAUGGUGCCGUAACUUCGGGAGAAGGCACGCUGACACGUAGGUGAAGUGAUUUACUCAUGGAGCUGAAGUCAGUCGAAGAUACCAGCUGGCUGCAACUGUUUAUUAAAAACACAGCACUGUGCAAACACGAAAGUGGACGUAUACGGUGUGACGCCUGCCCGGUGCCGGAAGGUUAAUUGAUGGGGUCAGCGCAAGCGAAGCUCCUGAUCGAAGCCCCGGUAAACGGCGGCCGUAACUAUAACGGUCCUAAGGUAGCGAAAUUCCUUGUCGGGUAAGUUCCGACCUGCACGAAUGGCGUAAUGAUGGCCAGGCUGUCUCCACCCGAGACUCAGUGAAAUUGAACUCGCUGUGAAGAUGCAGUGUACCCGCGGCAAGACGGAAAGACCCCGUGAACCUUUACUAUAGCUUGACACUGAACAUUGAGCCUUGAUGUGUAGGAUAGGUGGGAGGCUUUGAAGUG
rnacentral:rRNA from 1 species